rnacentral:misc_RNA from 1 species
AAGACUAUAGACCUGCGGAGUACCUGCGGAAGGAUCAUUAAUGAAUAAACUUGGUCAAGCUGUUGCUGGUCUCUCGAGACAUGUGCACGCUUGCCACCAACUUUAACCACCUGUGCACCUUUUGUAGACUGGAAACGUUUCUCGAGGCAACUCGGAUUGAGAACUGUUGCGCGCAAGCCAGCUGUUCUUGUGUUUCUCAGUCUAUGUUUUCAUAUACUCCUAAUGUAUGUAAUCGAAUGU